GACGAACGCUGGCGGCGGGCCUAAUACAUGCAAGUCGAGCGCAGUUGCGUACGGGUGAGUAACGCGUCUGUACCUGCCUGGUAGUGGGGGCUAACUAUUGGAAACGAUAGCUAAUAAUGCAUACUACCAGAUGGACCUGCGUUGUAUUAGCUAGUUGGUGAGGUAACGGCUCACCAAGCCAAAGAUACAUAGCCGUCAUGAGAGGGUGGUCGGCCACACUGGGACGGAGACACGGCACAGAAUCCUACGGGAGGCAGCAGUAGGGAAUCUUCGGCAAUGGGGGGAACGCUGACCGAGAAACGCCGCGUGAGAGAAGAAGGUUUUCGGAUCGGAAAGCUAUGUUGUGAAGGAAGCGUUACUUAAACAGAAAGGGACGGCUAACUACGUGCCAGCAGCCGCGGUAAUUC
rnacentral:rRNA from 1 species